AACCAGUUACUUGGUGCUGUUGUAAGCGGUGCACGUGUAUAAGACACUUGUUGAGUUCAAAAUAAAAUCCGAAACAUGACAUAUGCUUUCAUAAUAGUGGUGUCCGUGGCAAUAACAUUAAAACUAUUGUUUAUGAGCUUCUCUUUAUACUUUACUCUCAAACAUGAAGGAUCAGAAAUAAAGGAGGGAUCUACAAAGAAGAACGGGAAAGGAAUUAUGGCAAAAUGCAAACAAAUCACUCGAGCAUUCAUGCCAAAAAUGAAUUGUAGUCCAGAAGGAAAAGACAAAUAUAACUUGAACUACAGUUGAAAAUCUGCUAUCAUAUUAUAAUUUAUAUUUAUCAAUUCUAAUAUUUUUCCACGUAUGUACAUAUAGGUGUGGCUAGUAAUAAUAUAAACAUAUAUUUAAGCA